rnacentral:RNase_P_RNA from 1 species
AGAGAGGGCUGGGUGGCUGCGACUUCCUAUGGUUGUCGAGGAAAGUCCGGGCUCCGCAGGGCAGGGCGCCAGAUAAUGUCUGGUAGGAGUGAUCCUCAGGCUAGUGCCACAGAAAUGUAGACCGCCUCUUUGAGGUAAGGGUGCAACGGUGGGGUAAGAGCCCACCAGCGGGACAGCAAUGUCCCGGCUAGGUAAACCCCGCCCGGAGCAAGAUAGAUGGGGACCGCCGUUUGAGGCACCGGUAGCCCGCCGGAAGUCCCCCGAUACGUCGCUUCAAACGCCCAGCGAUGGUGCGUUGAGAUAGAUGGCCGCCCAGGGAGGCUUGCCUCCUGGACAGAACCCGGCUUACAGGCCCUCUCUUGGC